rnacentral:misc_RNA from 1 species
GAACGCACAUUGCGCCCCUUGGUAUUCCAUGGGGCAUGCCUGUUCGAGCGUCAUUUGUACCUUCAAGCUCUGCUUGGUGUUGGGUGUUUGUCCCGCCUUUGUGCGCGGACUCGCCUUAAAGCAAUUGGCAGCCGGCGUAUAGAUUUCGGAGCGCAGCACAAUCCGCGCUUUGUACUCAUUACGACGACAUCCAUCAAGACAUUUUUUAACUCUUGACCUCGGAUCAGGUAGGGAUACCCGCUGAACUUA